rnacentral:rRNA from 1 species
AUUGAACGCUGGCGGCAGGCCUAACACAUGCAAGUCGAGCGGGGGAAGGUAGCUUGCUACCGGACCUAGCGGCGGACGGGUGAGUAAUGCUUAGGAAUCUGCCUAUUAGUGGGGGAUAACGUUCCGAAAGGAACGCUAAUACCGCAUACGUCCUACGGGAGAAAGUGGGGGAUCUUCGGACCUCACGCUAAUAGAUGGGCCUAGGUCGGAUUAGCUAGUUGGUGGGGUAACGGCUCACCAAGGCGACGAUCCGUAGCUGGUCUGAGAGGAUGAUCAGCCACACUGGAACUGAGACACGGUCCAGACUCCUACGGGAGGCAGCAGUGGGGAAUAUUGGACAAUGGGCGAAAGCCUGAUCCAGCCAUGCCGCGUGUGUGAAGAAGGUCUUCGGAUUGUAAAGCACUUUAAGUUGGGAGGAAGGGUUGUAAGCUAAUAUCUUGCAGCUUUGACGUUACCAACAGAAUAAGCACCGGCUAACUCUGUGCCAGCCGCCGCAGUAAGAC